GGGUCGGUACCGAAGCGGUUAAACGGGACAGACUGUAAAUCUGUUGGCUCGCGCCUUCGCUGGUUCGAAUCCAGCCCGGCCCAC
rnacentral:tRNA from 1 species